UACGUAGGGUGCGAGCGUUAAUCGGAAUUACUGGGCGUAAAGCGUGCGUAGGCGGUUCGUUAAGUUCGUUGUGAAAGCCCCGGGCUCAACCUGGGAAUGGCAAUGGAAACUGGCGGGCUGGAGUAUGGCAGAGGGGGGUGGAAUUCCCAGUGUAGCGGUGAAAUGCGUAGAGAUUGGGAAGAACAUCGGUGGCGAAAGCGCUCUACUGGACCUCAUCUGACACUCAGGGACGAAAGCUAGGGGAGCGAAUGGG
rnacentral:rRNA from 1 species